GAGCCCCGAGUUUCCGGCGGACUUGAAGUAUCAAUCGGGCUUCGGGAACCAUUUCUCGUCGGAGGCUAUCGCCGGAGCUCUCCCUCUCAAUCAGAACAGUCCUCUCGUCUGUCCUUACGGCCUCUACGCGGAGCAGAUCUCCGGCACCUCCUUCACUUCCCCUCGCAAACUCAACCAGCGCAGGUUAAUGCUUUGAAGAAUCUAUCUGUUUAAAUUUUUGAUGAUUUUGAAUGUGAUCUAUUCUGAGAAAUUUUUGUUUUGGCAGUUGGUUAUAUCGGGUUAAGCCAUCAGUUACUCAUGAGCCAUUUAAGCCUAGGGUCCCCAGUCACGGGAAGCUUGUGAGUGAAUUUAAUGAAUCAAAUAGUUCUGCAACUCCAACUCAGCUACGGUGGAAACCGGUGGAAGUUCCUAAAGCGCCGAUUGAUUUCAUUGACGGAUUAUACACUCUUUGUGGCGCUGGCAGCUCGUAUCUUCGGCAUGGUUUUGCAAUUCACAUGUAAUUGGUAUUCCUGGUUUUACUUUACUGUUUUGCGAUUUCGUGCAAUCGUAUUAAAACAAAUUUGAGGUUAUUAGGUGUAUAGAGGUCAACUUUUAUUUUAAAUUUAUCAACUUUAUGUUCCAUUAAUCAACUAUUCCAUAGACUAAGAUUUUUUUCCCUAUUGCAUCACAUAGUUGUUGUGUAUUUCCAUUAUUUUGUUAUGGGCACAGAUGAUAGUCUUCAAUCAAGUUCUGUUAUGGCCUUGUGGCCAAAGGAAGUCCUAUAAGCAUGGGACUGGUUUAUGUCUUAGCAGCCAACCUUGCGUAGAAAGCUAUUAGCUCAAACCAUUGUGCCGUAUGUCCAUCCAUAUCCAUCUAAUGUUAUCAGUUAAUGAUUUUUUGAUUUUAGACUUCAUUUAUUCUAUUCUGGUCACCCUGGUUACGAGUCAACUAGACUUGCUCCAACUUCACAAAGAUCUACCCCUUGGGGAUUUUGUGCUUUAAUAUUCCAUAGCAGGUUAUUUCCACAGUUUGUUUGUUCUACAAUUAUUUAUAAUGUGCUGAUUAAGUUCUAUGGUUGCGCACGUUCCAAGUGCCUACAUAGUUCUGCUAUUCCUGAGAGCCACUAGGGGCAAAACACUGUAUUGUAAUACUUUCAUGAGUUGCAUUAUGUCAUGCUUGUCUAUGUUAAUGCAUUGUAAUUUUUCAAGAACCAAUUGCCAAUUGAUAUGGUUUAGCAUAUCCAAUGUCACUUCAAUCUCCAUAGCAUUAGCAAUUUUUUUAGACGAUUCGGCAAUACUCGAUAGGGCAACGAGCCUAGCUUGAUCCUCCAGGAGUAUUUAAAAAAUAGCCACUUGUUCCUCAAUUUGGACAUAUUUACUAUCAUCCAAUCCAUAAGUUAACGAGCACGUAAUCUUUGAAACGAACCUAUAUUCAUCCUAAGCAGAUCAUGACAUGUCGUAUCACUCGUACCAAACAUUUGUGUAAGCGUCAUUUCUCGUUUAGAAUCCGAAUUUAUAUGAAGAGCUCUAGGGAGAUGUUGUUCACGACGCCUAAUAUCAUUAUGACCCUAUUUGACCCACAUUCUUUCCAAAAAAAAAAUAAAUUCUUAAACAAUGAUUUGAUAUUAUUUCAACCACACAUUCUUCAAUAAAAUAAUAUUACACGCACAUCCAAAACUUUUUUAUUUUUUAACCACGCAUUUUCGAUCAAUACAUUAUUAUGGAAAUAAUGUGGCUCAAACAAGGGCUAUUUAUCACAAUCGCUUGCAUGACCAUCGUCCAAAAUAAACCUAAUUAUUGUCGUUGGCGUCGACGUUGAUUCCUUGUUGUAGUCAUGUUAUGAUACUGAUCUUUGUUUCGGUGUAAGGCACCCUUGUAUUAAGCUAAAUCUAAGAAACACAAACAUACAGCCUGUUUGGGAGUGAUUUUUUGGCCCAAAAAAUUAAUUUUUUGACCGUUAUUUCAUUAUUAUAGCCAUCAUAUAUGACUUCUUCUCCCAUAGGUGGACCCCACUUUUUUCCUAACGAUCAAAAAAUCAAUUAUCAAAAUCACUCCCAAACAGGCUCAUAAUGUUAGAAGUUUCGAAUAUAAUUCUGCACUUAAGUUUUUAAGGUGUAAAUAUGAGGUAUAAUCUAAAAAGAAAAAUAAGUUGAGAUUUUGAUCAGAUGACUCUCCCAUGUCAUCUAAUAUUAGGUAUCAAACAUUUAGUAAUAGAGUAGACAAAUGCAGCAAAAUUAUAAUCAUGUAGAAAACAAUGUUAAAUGUUACCCCCAUUGAGAGAAGUACCCUGCUAAAGUGGAAGGGCUUAAGAAAUCCAAUCUUGUAUCUUCUUUGACAAUGUACAAUAAGGGCUAAAAUAACAUAAAUUUAGCUCAAAUAUCACAAUUAUAAACCCAGAAAGCUUCAAAUUUUAAAAGCAUUUCUCUCCAAAAUCAAGUCUUGAGCAUAUUCCUCAACAGAAUAUACAAGGAAAAGUAGAUUAAACUGCAGAAGGGUAAAAAUGAAGAAAAAGCAGACCCCGAGAACUAAAAAAAAAAAAAAAAACUGAAAUCCCCAAGAAUUCGAACUAUGUUGGAAAAAUAGUAAACGAAAAACCCAAUGUGAAUGAAGGUUUGACCUACUAAACAAACAUCUGAAUCAUGAACAAUUAGAAGGUGAACGAAAUGAGAUCAGAGAUCUAUAUCUCGGAAAAACAAAUUCUAGAAAAAGCCCAAGUCUACAGUAUGUAGAUACAAAUAUGUGUAUUCAAUAUCAGACCCAAGAAUUAAGAGAAUUUUACAAACUGAAUAUAAGCAAAUCAAGAUGAAAAAACAUAGACAUCGCCUAUUCUAGCACACAAUAACAAUCUCAGAGGAUACGGCGGUAAAAUGAACCUGAAUGAAUGCGAUCAAAGCCUCGUUGUCGAACUUUUGCAGUGAAUACGGCGGAUUUGGAAGCGGUGAUUCGUUUAGGUCUUCGGUUUCCUCUUCCUUCUUCCUGGUUUAGCUGUGUGAGUAAUUGGUUUCUUCUCCCUUCUUUCUGGUUUGUUGUUGGAGUAGAUGAAACAGGACAAGGAUUUUGUACGUGGGUUAGAGAGAGAGGGUACGCGAGUGCUUAGUAGAGACUGUUAGAAAACUUUGAAUUCGGAAGAUAAAAUCCUACUUAUCCAUAGAAACUAUUUUCUAACUGUUAAGGAAAAUAUAAUCACAUCAUAAAAAUAAAAGAUAGAGAAAAUUAUCAAUCAAACAAAGUAAAAGUUUGACCUUUAGUUGAUCCAAUUAAUUGACUUUGACCUUUAGUUGAUCCAAUUAAUUGAUUUUAGUUGAAGGUUAAGGUCAGGUAUGUGAAAAGGUAAAAGGUGAGGACCGAUAUUGCAAUUAUCCAUAAUUUUAAAUAAAAAUAGGAGAAAUAAUUAUUUUAAAUCAAAUUGCCUUUUUAAGAAGUAUAGUAUGCUUUCGUUGAGAGUCGAACUGAAGACCUCUUGCUUACUAAACAAGUGCUCUAAGCGAGCUAAGAAAGUUAUCGAUACAUUAAAAAUAAGGGUGCAUUUUAUUGCAAGUAUAGAAAGAAAAUAAAUUCUAGAUAAUUUGGUUGUCUAUAAUUAAUUUGCAUGAAAAUUAUCAAUUAAAUGUGUUUGAUUAUUUUAAUUUUCACCAUAAAAAAAAUAUACUUAUUACCUCUCGUUACACGUGGCUCUACAUUGUGAUCCAUUGUAGCCCUUAGCCUACUCAACUCGAAGUACAUUGCAUAGUGGUCGAGGUCUCGAAGCCAAUGAGAAAUGCAAUGAAGUCAACGCUUCAACCGAGACUCAACAUCAUGAAGUUCGAAAACCAUUGACCAGGUGGGCAAGUCUGAGGCCCCUAUGUCGAAGCGCCGAUGAAGAAUGCAAUGCAGUCAACGCUUCAACCGAGACUUAGCAUCAUGAAGUCCGAAGACCAUAGACCAGAUGGGCAAGUCCGAGGCCCUAUGCUGAAGCUUAAGCCUUCGAAGCACCUUAUUAUAUCAUAUUCUUCCAAGAGAUCUGUUUUUCACGAGUAUUUUUUUCGAAUGACUGAUGAGACGUUUAUCAUAGAGUUUUAAGUGUCAAAUCUUAUCAAAUGAAGUGUGCGGCUCUGUACAGUUAAUAAAUGCAUAGUAGGCUAGCAAAUUAAAAGUGAUGCCUAUGAUUAGAUAUGUGAAUUAAAGAGAUGAGAUCGCAUGUACUCCUAUCCAAGGAUCGCUAUUCAAUUUGUACCACUAUAAAUACUUUUCCAUAUAACUCCUGUAGGACUAAUGCAACUUUAAAUACAAAAACACUACAUAUCAUUUUACUCUCUUGCAAAUGCAACCGAGUUUACAUAACAUUCAUUUGCUUCAAUUGGUAAUUAUGGUAUGAUCAUCCUAAAAACGUUUUACUGGAUUUCGAACUUUAUCCUCUCAUGUUGAAGAGCUACUCCCACACCUUGUCCUUUAAAGGGUUCGUGACCGUCGGUUUGUUGUAGAGUGUUGGAAUUAGCUCACGUGUACGCGAGUGAAAUUGACAUCUGUUGUCUGCGUGACUCUAACUUAAAACGAGGUCAAUAGGACUUAUCCAAUUUUUAUUGGUGAAUAAAUGAAAGAGAGUGAAUAAAUAAGAGAAAGAGAAUUCCCUAGAAAAUAAAAUGCCACUCUCCCUAAAUAAAUAUUGUCGCGUGAUCAAAAAUAGAAAAAUGUUUUAUAUGGAAAAAAGUUAGUCAAACAGCACAAAAGUAGACAAUUUAGUGAAAAAAACACAUUUUUCAUGAAAAAUAUUGACAAUCAAAUGCACCUAAGUUAAUUUUUAAAAUCAAUUAAUUAGUCAACAUUAUCUAUAGCUUAGCAAACACGGUCUUCUUAGAGAGUGCCGGUCCAACAAGCCACGAUUCCACCUGAUCCACCGAACUCACUUUCCGUUACUAGAGUCUCUUUCUGGGUUCCAAUCCACUGAAUUUGAUUCUGUUCAUAUUAAUCACUCGAAUCACUAGCUUCUCAAAUUUUGAAGUUAAAUACUAAUCGAUUAUGGAUAGUGAAAACGCAUCUCGGAGCCCCGAGUUUCCGGCGGACUUGAAGUAUCAAUCGGGCUUCGGGAACCAUUUCUCGUCGGAGGCUAUCGCCGGAGCUCUCCCUCUCAAUCAGAACAGUCCUCUCGUCUGUCCUUACGGCCUCUACGCGGAGCAGAUCUCCGGCACCUCCUUCACUUCCCCUCGCAAACUCAACCAGCGCAGGUUAAUGCUUUGAAGAAUCUAUCUGUUUAAAUUUUUGAUGAUUUUGAAUGUGAUCUAUUCUGAGAAAUUUUUGUUUUGGCAGUUGGUUAUAUCGGGUUAAG
rnacentral:lncRNA from 1 species